rfam:Chryseobacterium sp. MOF25P AB670_contig000044, whole genome shotgun sequence.
CUUUAGCCCCGAUUGCAACGGCAUCCUUUUGUGUAGCGAAGCGAAACAAAAGAUAUAGUGGAAAGCGGGAUUAAGC